UGGUCGGUGUUCUAAUGUAGGAUACCCUGUUGUAGGGAGGUGCGGGUUCGAAUCCCGCCCGACCGC
rnacentral:tRNA from 1 species